UGGGGAGCCAUUAUCUUUGGAAUGGGUUUUUAGCCUUUUUCUCCACUGGAGAGAGGUGCAAAAGCUGUUAAUAAAUUGGUUUUCAGUGAAAACUGUCUGUGUGAUAUUGCCCAAUUGUAGGAGGUGAAAUUAAUGUCGAAAUGGAGUAUUAACCACAGAAGGCUAAAGGGAAGGGAGGACAACAGAGGAAGAAAGAAGAAAAAAAAAA